CAGUCGCCGCGGUAAUACGGAGGGUGCAAGCGUUAAUCGGAAUUACUGGGCGUAAAGCGCACGCAGGCGGUCUGACAAGUCAGAUGUGAAAUCCCCGGGCUUAACCUGGGAACUGCAUUUGAAACUGGCAAGCUAGAGUCUUGUAGAGGGGGGUAGAAUUCCAGGUGUAGCGGUGAAAUGCGUAGAGAUCUGGAGGAAUACCGGUGGCGAAGGCGGCCCCCUGGACAAAGACUGACGCUCAGGUGCGAAAGCGUGGGGAGCAAACAGGAUUAGAGACCCCUGUAGUCCCUGUCUCUUAUAC
rnacentral:rRNA from 1 species